UAAAAAGUCUUCUAGGGUUCCGCGGUAUUUGGUGCCGGUCUGGUCCGAGAGAAGACACACAGAUCGAUCUGUGACACGGAGGGACAAAAGCCCGGGAGAU
rnacentral:sRNA from 2 species